GAUGAACGCUAGCGGCAGGCCUAACACAUGCAAGUCGAGGGGUAGCAGGAUUAAGCUUGCUUAAUUGCUGACGACCGGCGCACGGGUGCGUAACGCGUAUGCAACCUACCUUAUACUGGGGUAUAGCCCGGAGAAAUUCGGAUUAAUCCCCCAUAGUACUAUUUACCGCAUGGUAGAAUAGUUAAAGCAUUGCGGUAUAAGAUGGGCAUGCGUCCGAUUAGUUUGUUGGUGAGGUAACGGCUCACCAAGACUACGAUCGGUAGGGGAGUCUGAGAGGAUGACCCCCCACACUGGUACUGAGACACGGACCAGACUCCUACGGGAGGCAGCAGUAAGGAAUAUUGGUCAAUGGACGCAAGUCUGAACCAGCCAUGCCGCGUGCAGGAAGACGGUCCUCUGGAUUGUAAACUGCUUUUGUUAGGGAAGAAACCCUCGGAUGCGUUCGAGGCUGACGGUACCUAAAGAAUAAGGAUCGGCUAACUCCGUGCCAGCAGCCGCGG
rnacentral:rRNA from 1 species